UCCCUCGUGGUCCAGUGGCUAAGACUCUAGCUUCCAGUGCAAGGGGCCCAGGUUCAAUCCCUGGUCAGGGAA
rnacentral:tRNA from 1 species